GCAAGUCGAACGAAGCAAUAGCGGAAGAGACUCGGUCAAUUGAACAUUGACUAGUGGCGGACGGGUGAGUAAUGCAUGAGCAACCUGCCCUGGAGAGGGGGACGAACAGCUGGAAACGGCUGCUAAUACCGCAUGAAGUCAUCGGGAGGCAUCUUCUGAUGACCAAAGAUUUAUCGCUCUGGGAUGGGCUCAUGUCUGAUUAGAUAGUUGGCGGGGCAACGGCCCACCAAGUCUACGAUCAGUAGCCGGACUGAGAGGUUGAACGGCCACAUUGGGACUGAGAUACGGCCCAGACUCCUACGGGAGGCAGCAGUGGGGAAUAUUGGGCAAUGGGCGCAAGCCUGACCCAGCAACGCCGCGUGAAGGAAGAAGGCUUCCGGGUUGUAAACUUCUUUUAUCAGGGACGAAGGAUGUGACGGUACCUGAUGAAUAAGCCACGGCUAACUACGUGCCAGCAGCAGC
rnacentral:rRNA from 1 species